GACUAACAGUCUUCACCAGAUUAUCACAUCUGUUUCCAGGAGUUUCCUGCCCAAGUGUUGCCUUUGUGGAUUUUUUCAUCUUGCUGACCUAAGCCUGUUUUUGAGCAAGACUUUGCCUGAUGUUCUUGGAUGCCUCUGUCCUGUCUGCCUGUCCAUUGCCAAUCUGUUUCUGUUCAGCCACAGAAGUUUUGCCGAGCCUGACUCCUGGGUUUUGCCUCAACCCUGACUGUACCUUGCUGUGCCUAACAUUGCGUGCCUGUUUAUUGACCAUUUUUGCUUGUCUGACCCUGGAUUUUUGCCUGAACCCUACCUGUACUUUUGCCAGGAUUUUUUGACUUGAUUGACUUUGAGUUUUUUACCCUGCCGCCUGUGCCUGGCCUGUACUGCCUGUGUUUUGUUUUUUUUUAACUGUAAAUAAAUAUCCUAACUUUCGUCUGCUCCCGAGUCUGCCUCUGGGUCCACAAUCCCUCCCGGCCUCACUGGCCCUGACAGUCAGAUCUGGUCUCUACUGUGCUGCAUUGCUAUGAGGACCUCUACUACUAAAUGAGGAGAGGAGCAAUUCUGAAAUAUUUUGGAGCUGCGGACCAGGAAGCAGCACGGCCACCUUCAGCACCAUCAGACCAGGAUUUAAGUUUAAGUUUAAGUUGUUUAAGUUUAAGAAUGUUUUACAAUUUAAAAUAAACAUUUUUGAGGAACA